AGCUGCAAGCAGGAGGUGCGGCUUGCGGACGUGUCCAACCCUGAGGCGGUCAAGUUCAUGUUGGACUACAUGUACCACCUGGACUCCGCCAUCUACGAGGACUACGACCCCAGGAGUCAGGAGAUCAACAAGGAUGUGCUCCGCCUCGCGCAGAACUUCAGGCUGCCCGGGCUCACCGAGCGCGCCACG
rnacentral:SRP_RNA from 1 species